CCUUUGUUUGCUAGCGUCCAAGGAUCUUGUGAUUCAAGCUUCCUUGUGGGCUAUCACUUAAUAUUGAUGAAUCUUUAAUAUAAGGUUUGCGCAUGUAAUAAACUUUACAAAUAUUUGAUAGCAAUCGCAAAUUGUUGAUUAUGCGCGUUGUAAAAGGGGGUAUAUUGUAACUCAAUAGAGGAUCCGCUUUCAGAGUGUGAGCUGUUUGGAUAUUAUUAUGAGGAGAAAGCAGUUCAGACCAUUUUGUGACCGUCGUUAAAUUACACAAUGAAAAACAAAGUAAUUUUCAAGGUAGUUCUCAUUGUUUCAACGUUUAUGUUCGGUGAACAUACGACAUAUGGACAAU